rnacentral:rRNA from 1 species
GACGAACGCUGGCGGCGUGCUUAACACAUGCAAGUCGAACGGAAAGGCCCUGCUUUUGUGGGGUGCUCGAGUGGCGAACGGGUGAGUAACACGUGAGUAACCUGCCCUUGACUUUGGGAUAACUUCAGGAAACUGGGGCUAAUACCGGAUAGGAGCUCCUGCUGCAUGGUGGGGGUUGGAAAGUUUCGGCGGUUGGGGAUGGACUCGCGGCUUAUCAGCUUGUUGGUUGGGUAGUGGCUUACCAAGGCUUUGACGGGUAGCCGGCCUGAGAGGGUGACCGGCAACAUGGGGACUAAGAUACGGCCCAGACGGCUACGGGAGGCAGCAGUGGGGAAUAUUGCACAAUGGGAGGAAGCCUGAUGAAGCAACGCCGCGUGCGGGAUGACGGCCUUCGGGUUGUAAACCGCAUUCGCCUGUGACGAAGCGUGAGUGACGGUAAUGGGUAAAGAAGCACCGGCUAACUACGUG